rnacentral:rRNA from 1 species
GAGGAAUACUGGUCAAUGGGCGCGAGCCUGAACCCAGCCAAGUCGCGUGAGGGAAGACGGUCCUAUGGAUUGUAAACCUCUUUUGUCGGGGAGCAAAAGGCGCCACGUGUGGCGUUCCGAGAGUACCCGAAGAAAAAGCAUCGGCUAACUCC